rnacentral:tRNA from 1 species
GGGGUUGUGGCUCAACGGUAGAGCUCUCGCCUCUCAUGUGUGAGGCUUUGGAUUUGAUCCUCAGCACCCCA